rnacentral:rRNA from 1 species
UACGUAGGGGGCAAGCGUUGUCCGGAUUUAUUGGGCGUAAAGAGCUCGUAGGCGGCUUGUUGCGUCGACCGUGAAAACUUGGGGCUUAACCCUGAGCUUGCGGUUGAUACGGGCAGGCUAGAGUUCGGUAGGGGAGACUGGAAUUCCUGGUGUAGCGGUGAAAUGCGCAGAUAUCAGGAGGAACACCGGUGGCGAAGGCGGGUCUCUGGGCCGAUGACUGACGCUGAGGAGCGAAAGCGUGGGGAGCGAACAGG